rnacentral:misc_RNA from 2 species
AACGCACAUUGCGCCCAUUAGUAUUCUAGUGGGCAUGCCUGUUCGAGCGUCAUUUCAACCCUUAAGCCUAGCUUAGUGUUGGGAGACUGCCUAAUACGCAGCUCCUCAAAACCAGUGGCGGAGUCUGUUCGUGCUCUGAGCGUAGUAAUUCUUUAUCUCGCUUCUGCAAGCCGAUUAGACAACAGCCAUAAACCGCACCCUUCGGGGGCACUUUUUAAUGGUUGACCUCGGAUCAGGUAGGAAUACCCGCUGAACUUAA